rnacentral:rRNA from 1 species
AUUGAACGCUGGCGGCAUGCUUUACACAUGCAAGUCGAACGGUAACAGCACUUCGGUGGCUGACGAGUGGCGCACGGGUGAGUAAUACAUCGGAACGUGCCUAGUAGUUGGGGAUAACUACUCGAAAGAGUAGCUAAUACCGCAUGAGAUCUAAGGAUGAACGCAGGGGACCUUCGGGCCUUGCGCUACUAGAGCGGCUGAUGGCGGAUUAGGUAGUUGGUGGGAUAAAAGCUUACCAAGCCGACGAUCUGUAGCUGGUCUGAGAGGAGGAACAGCCACACGGGGACGGAGACGCGGCCCAGACUCCUGCGGGAGGCAGCAGUGGGGAAUGGUGGACAAUGGGCGCAAGCCUGAUCCAGCAAGGCCGCGUGCAGGAUGAAGGCCUUCGGGUUGGAAACUGCUUUUGUACGGAACGAAAAGCCCUCUUCUAAUACAGGAGGGUCAUGACGGUACCGGAAGAAUAAGCACCGGCUAACUACGUG